GAGUCAUCACCAACUAGAUAUAGCUCGAUGAAGCUAUAUAUGAUAAGAGGCGUAUCCAAGAUUUACAGUAUAUGUUUGAAAAUGGUAUCAUUAGUUGGCCUUGCAUGUUGGUACAGGAAGUAAGAGUUGCAGCCAAGGAUGACUUGCCGACUCUUGAAUUAACAGUAAAUGGUAUUAUUCAUACGAUGGGACUUGAAAGAGAAAAGUUGGCAAGUGGUCCUUGGCUACAUUUUUCUUUCUGCCCCUCAAGCCAGGUCUUUGGUGAACAUAAGAUUAAUUAAGGCAGCUUCUACAAAACCAUGGUAAUGCCUUCCCACUUUUCUGUAUCCUUAUUGCUAUAUACAUUUUUAGUACUCAAGAUUCAUAAAUAUAUUUGCAAAACGUGUAUUGCCUCUCAGUUUUUCUUUCAACAUCUUUUACCCUAUGUAUGUUAGUGUUUAACUACCUUUUUUUUUUUUUUUCCUUCAAAAGAUACACACACUGAUAGAGAAACAUAUAAAUUGCAUAUCACACAUUGCAAGGACUUUCUAAUAGAUUUUGUCGCUAGUUAGUCUUGAGCAAGAUGCAUUAGACAUCAAAAUUUUACUAAAUUUAAGUUGAGCCACUACAAGACAAGCCCAAUCCAUUGUCUUCAACCUCAGAAGUUUAUUAAGGAUCUCUUGGAGGCUACUCUAACCAUAAACUAGCUCACGCUUCUAUGAAGGGGUACAUAUUCCCUUGGAAAGGCAUCUCCAAAAUUCCAUAAAAUCAUAAAAUAUUCAUAAAGAGAUCAAGACAUCAAAUACUAUCUUUCUCAAAGCCAAGGAGAUCAAUAGAGGUCUUCCCGAAGAUCAACUCAAAAGACCGAAGUAUUGUCCAACAUUCUUGACGAUCAAAUACACCUCAAGGAGGUCCAAAUCAUAUUAAAUUCGAGAGAUGCUACUAAUGGCCCUCGAAUGACGAAGAAAAUUUAGGAGAGAAGAAUCAAGGGAAUACAACAAAUUUUACCGAUACAAUCUUGAUAAAUAAAAUCACUUUUUUAUUUGCUUUAUGAUUGCUGUUUAAUUUACAUACAUACAAAAACUUGUUGUAAACAGCUUUAUUACAAAAUAGAGGGGGGAUUCAUUAUCACAAAAUAUUAUGUUCGAUAGCCAUGUGUGAUAAAGAGUCUACAACUAUAUUAUCCUCCCUGUAGGUGUGACUCAAGCAUAUAUGGUCUUCCUUCCUAGUUACCAGAUCAAGUAGUAGGGACCUGCAUUGAGAUAUUAAGUGAGAGUAUCUUUGUGUUUGAGUACCUGCAACAACUGAAGUACAACCUGAAGGCAUUGCUUCACAUCUUUUGAUCCUCAUCUGGAUUCAAGACAAUAAUAUUUUAUUUAAUACUUUAUCUGUACUUCCUUCAACUAAAACAUAAUUUGCUUGAGUAGAAAUAAAAAUCAGAAUCUAAAUUCUUAUUCUCA